CGCGGCCUAUCAGCUUGUUGGUGGGGUAACGGCCCACCAAGGCAUCGACGGGUAGCUGGUCUGAGAGGACGAUCAGCCACACUGGGACUGAGACACGGCCCAGACUCCUACGGGAGGCAGCAGUGGGGAAUAUUGCGCAAUGGGCGAAAGCCUGACGCAGCAACGCCGCGUGGGGGAUGAAGGCCUUCGGGUUGUAAACCCCUUUCAGCAGGGACGAAAAUGACGGUACCUGCAGAAGAAGCCCCGGCCAACUACGUGCCAGCAGCCGCGGUAACACGUAGGGGGCAAGCGUUGUCCGGAUUUAUUGGGCGUAAAGAGCUCGUAGGCGGUUGCGUAAGUCGGAUGUGAAAACUCAGGGCUCAACCCGGAGACGCCAUCCGAUACUGCGCUGACUAGAGUCCGGUAGAGGAGCAUGGAAUUCCUGGUGUAGCGGUGAAAUGCGCAGAUAUCAGGAGGAACACCAGUGGCGAAGGCGGUGCUCUGGGCCGGUACUGACGCUGAGGAGCGAAAGCGUGGGUAGCGAACAGGAUUAGAUACCCUGGUAGUCCACGCCGUAAACGUUGGGCACUAGGUGUGGGGCCUCCUUAACGGGUUCCGUGCCGUAGCUAACGCAUUAAGUGCCCCGCCUGGGGAGUACG
rnacentral:rRNA from 1 species